rnacentral:rRNA from 1 species
GACGAACUCUGGCGGCGUGCUUUACACAUUCACUUCGAACGGAAAGUCCCUUCUUUUUUGGGGUGCUCGAGUGGCGAACGGGUGAGUAACACGUGAUUACCCUGCCCUUCACUUUUGGAUAACUUCAGGAAACUGGGGCUACUACCGGAUAGGAGCUCCUGCUGCAUGGUGGGUGUUUGCCAGUUUAGGCGGUUGGGGAUGGACUCGCGGCUUAUCAGCUUGUUGGUGGGGAAUUGGCUUACCAAGGCUUUGACGGGUAGUCGGCCUGAGUUGGUGACCGGCGACACUGGGAAUGGGAUACCGCACAGACUCCUACGGGAGGCAGAAGUGGGAAAUAUUGCACAAUGGGCGGAAGAAUGAUGCAGCAGCGCCGCGUGCGGGAUGACGGCGUUCGGGUUGCAAACAGAUUUCGCCUGUGAGGAAGCGUGAGUGACGGUAAUGGGUAGAGAAGCACCGGCUAACUACGUG